rnacentral:rRNA from 1 species
AAACUUUCAACAACGGAUCUCUUGGUUCUGGCAUCGAUGAAGAACGCAGCGAAAUGCGAUAAGUAAAGUGAAUUGCAGAAUUCAGUGAAUCAUCGAAUCUUUGAACGCACAUUGCGCCCUUGGUAUUCGGGGGCAUGCCAGUCGAGCGUCAUU